rnacentral:misc_RNA from 1 species
CUCUCUCUCUCUCUCUCUCUUGGGUUUGAUAGAAGUUCUUUGGAGGUUUGUGUUAUGUUAUAUACAUGAGUGGAGGAACAAAGGUUGGCUCUGGCUCUGGCUCUGCCUUGGUUUCUUCAAGGAAAAAGAAAGAGACGCUUUUUGCUGGCCGAAGUAUCUUUAGAAAUUCCAACUGGACAUUUCUUUUUGUUAUAAUCAGCUCCAAGUUUUAGAAACAA